rnacentral:rRNA from 1 species
GAUGAACGCUGGCGGCGUGCCUAAUACAUGCAAGUCGAGCGAACAGACGAGGAGCUUGCUUCUCUGACGUUAGCGGCGGACGGGUGAGUAACACGUGGAUAACCUACCUAUAAGACUGGGAUAACUUCGGGAAACCGGAGCUAAUACCGGAUAAUAUAUUGAACCGCAUGGUUCAAUAGUGAAAGACGGUUUUGCUGUCACUUAUAGAUGGAUCCGCGCCGCAUUAGCUAGUUGGUAGGGUAACGGCUUACCAAGGCAACGAUGCGUAGCCGACCUGAGAGGGUGAUCGGCCACACUGGAACUGAGACACGGUCCAGACCCCUACGGGAGGCAGCAGUAGGGAAUCUUCCGCAAUGGGCGAAAGCCUGACGGAGCAACGCCGCGUGAGUGAUGAAGGUCUUCGGAUCGUAAAACUCUGUUAUUAGGGAAGAACAAAUGUGUAAGUAACUAUGCACGUCUUGACGGUACCUAAUCAGAAAGCCACGGCUAACUACGUG